GACAGAGGGUGCAUUCUUUGCUCGGAUUUACUGGGCGUAAAGCGCAUGUAGGCUGGAAUCUAAGUCGGGUGUGAAAUCCCUGGGCUCAACCUAGGAACUGCAUCCGAAACUGGAUUCCUGGAGUGGUGGAGAGGAAAGCGGAAUUCCGGGUGUAGAGGUGAAAUUCGUAGAUAUCCGGAGGAACACCAGUGGCGAAGGCGGUUUUCUGGACACCAACUGACGCUGAGAUGCGAAAGCGUGGGGAGCAAACAGG
rnacentral:rRNA from 1 species